UUUUUAACUCUUUGCUUAAAACCCAUUUCUUGGGUUUCGUUGUUUUUUUAGGGAUAUUAAUUUGGGUUUCUAAAAAGAAGAAAUUUUCAAGGUGGGCAGACAAGUAUCAGGUACCAGACAUAAACAAAUAUCUCCACUGCAAUGAUGAUACCAUUACUUUUUUCUAGUAAUAUGGGAAAAGACAAUAUAUGCAUGUUAAACUACAUUUACAAUUCGGAUUUGAUCUUUUUACUUUAAACAAGAACAUUUUGGUUA